AACGAACGCUGGCGGUAUGCCUAACACAUGCAAGUCGAACGAGACCUUCGGGUCUAGUGGCGCACGGGUGCGUAACGCGUGGGAACCUGCCCUUAGGCUCGGAAUAACUCUCCGAAAGGGGUGCUAAUACCGGAUAACGUCUUCGGAUCAAAGAUUUAUCGACCUUGGAUGGGCCCGCGUGGGAUUAGCUAGUUGGUAGGGUAAAAGCCUACCAAGGUGACAAUCGAUAGCUGGUCUGAGAGGGUGAUCAGCCACACUGGGACUGGGACACGGCCCAGACUCCUGCAGGAGGCGGCAGUGGGGAAUAUUGGACGAUGGGCGGAAGCCUGAACCAGCAAUGCCGCGUGAGUGAUUAAGGCCUGAAAGUUGUAAAGCACUUUUACCCGGGAUUAUAAUGACAGUACCAGGAGAAUAAGCACCGGCUAACUCCGUG
rnacentral:rRNA from 1 species